UACGAGGGGGGCAAGGGUUGUUCGGAAUUACUGGGCGUAAAGGGAGCGUAGGCGGGCUCUUAAGUUGGAUGUUUAAAACCGGGGCCUAACCCCGGCGUGGCAUCCAAAACUGGGAGUCUUGAAUGGGACAGAGGCCAGUGGAAUUAGAGGUGUAGCGGUGGAAUGCGUAGAUAUCUCUAAGAACACCAGUUGCGAAGGCGGCUGGCUGGGUCCACAUUGACGCUGAGGCUCGAAAGCGUGGGGAGCAAACAGG
rnacentral:rRNA from 1 species